AGGAUGGGCCCGCGGCGCAUUAGCUAGUUGGUGAGUAACGGCUCACCAAGGCGACGAUGCGUAGCCGACCUGAGAGGGUGAUCGGCCACACUGGGACUGAGACACGGCCCAGACUCCUACGGGAGGCAGCAGUAGGGAAUCUUCCACAAUGGGCGAAAGUUGAUGGAGCAACGCCGCGUGAGUGAAGAAGGAUUCCGGUUCGUAAAACUCUGUUGUAAGGGAAGAACAAGUAGAGUAGUAACUGGCUGUACCUUGACGGUACCUUAUUAGAAAGCCUGGGCUAACUACGUGCCAGCAGCCGCGUUAAUACGUAGGUGGCAAGCGUUGUCCGGUUUUAUUGGGCGUAAAGCGCGCGCAGGUGGUUCUUAAGUCUGAUGUGAAAGCCCUGGCUCAACCGUGGAGGGUCAUUGGAACUGGGAGACUUGAGCAGAAAGGAUAGUGGAAUUCCAAGUGUAGCGUGAAAUGCGUAGAGUUUGGAGGAACACCAGAGCGAAGGCGACUAUCUGGUCUGUAGCUGACACUGAGGCGAAAGCGUGGGGAGCAAAGGAUUAGAUACCCUGGUAGUCUUCGCCGUAAACGAUGAGUGCUAAGUGUUAGGGUUUUCCGCCCCUUAGUGCUGCAGCUAACGCAUUCGCACUCCGCCUGGGGAGUACGGUCGCAAGAUUGAAACUCAAAGGAAUUGACUUGGGCCCGCACAAGCGGUGGAGAUGUGGUUUAAUUCUUAGCAACGCGAAGAACCUUACCAGGUCUUGACCCCGUUGACACUGUAAGAUAUGGUUUUCCCCUUCGGGGUCACGGUGACAGGUGGUGCAUGUCUUGUCGUCAGCUCGUGUCGUGAUAUGUUGGUUGAAGUUCCGCAACGAGCGCAACCUUGAUCUUAGUUGCCAUCAUUUAGACGGGCACUCUAAGGUGACUGCCGGUGACAAAUCGGAGGAAGGUGGGGAUGACGUCAAAUCAUCAUGCCCCUUAUGACCUGGCUACACACGUGCUACAAUGGACGAUAUUAACGGUUGCCAACUCGCAAAAGGGAGCUAAUCUAC
rnacentral:rRNA from 1 species